rnacentral:rRNA from 1 species
UAAGGUCACGGCAAGACUAGCCGUUUAUUAUUACGAUAGGUUCCAAGUGGAAGUGCAGUAAUGUAUGUAGCUGAGGCAUCCUAACAGACCGAGAGAUUUGAAC